GCAUGCUGCUUCUGAUUCAUCCGACCCAUCAGAGCAUUCUUCUUCGCCGUCACACUUCCACCUAUCUGGGAUGCAGUGCCCGUUGUCACAAGCGAAAUCCGUCUCAGCACAAGUUUUCUUUGGGCAAUCAGCCUCGUCGCUGUUAUCCGAGCAGUCGUUGUCUUCGUCGCACGCCCACACGGCGGGAAUGCACCGCUCGUUCCGGCACUGGAACUGGUCCUUAUCGCAC
rnacentral:lncRNA from 1 species